rnacentral:rRNA from 1 species
UACGUAGGGGGCAAGCGUUGUCCGGAUUUAUUGGGCGUAAAGAGCGUGUAGGCGGCCAUGCAGGUCAGCUGUGAAAACUCGAGGCUCAACCUCGAGACGUCGGUUGAAACCGCAUGGCUAGAGUCCGGAAGAGGAGAGUGGAAUUCCCGGUGUAGCGGUGAAAUGCGCAGAUAUCGGGAAGAACACCCAUGGCGAAGGCAGCUCUCUGGGACGGGACUGACGCUGAGACGCGAAAGCGUGGGGAGCGAACAGG